ACCAAAGUGCAUAUACAGAUAAGAUUAUGGAAUCUGCCAGAAAUUUCCUUGGUCUCGUGUCUGAAAACACGGACGAGGAUUGUCAAAAAGGAUUAAGACGGCCGACUUUAUGGAAGUUUUGAAAAAAUUCACCGCUCGCUAUACUGUAGACGGAAACUUGGCAGCUAUCCAAACUGCAAGAACUUUUCUUAGCAUUGAUUCUAAUCGUUUAUCUUGUGUCUUCACAAAUCUGUAACAAUGAUGUAAUUUGUUGCAAGGUAUUAGCAGAUGUUAUGGUGGAUUUAUUUAGUAUACAAGAACACUUAGGAGAAACUUGAUGCAUGUAGAAGUUUCAUUGAAAUGUUGUAGCGCUUUCCAUGUACAUCUUAUUACGCUAUCAUAUAAGUAAACAUUUUUUUAAAUAUUAUUAAUGCAU